GACGAACGCUGGCGGCGUGCUUAACACAUGCAAGUCGAACGGAAAGGCCCUGCUUUUGUGGGGUGCUCGAGUGGCGAACGGGUGAGUAACACGUGAGUAACCUGCCCUUGACUUUGGGAUAACUUCAGGAAACUGGGGCUAAUACCGGAUAGGAGCUCCUGCUGCAUGGUGGGGGUUGGAAAGUUUCGGCGGUUGGGGAUGGACUCGCGGCUUAUCAGCUUGUUGGUGGGGUAGUGGCUUACCAAGGCUUUGACGGGUAGCCGGCCUGAGAGGGGUGACGGCGACAUGGGGACUGAGAGACGGCCCAGAAGCCUACGGGAGGCAGCAGUGGGGAAUAUUGCACAAUGGGCGGAAGCCUGAUGCAGCAACGCCGCGUGCGGGAUGACGGCCUUCGGGUUGUAAACCGCUUUCGCCUGUGACGAAGCGUGAGUGACGGUAAUGGGUAAAGAAGCACCGGCUAACUACGUG
rnacentral:rRNA from 1 species